UUUUUUUUUUUUUUUUUUUUUUUUGUCUUUUAUCUUUUUAGGGCCACACCCACGGCCUGUGGAGGUUCCCUGGCUAGGGGUCUAAUUGGAGCUGUGGCGACCAGCCUAUGCCACAGCCACAGCAACAGUAACACCAGAUCCAAGCUGCAUCUACAACCUACCUCACAGCUCAUGGCAACGCCAGAUCCUUAACCCACUGAGCGAGGCCAGGGAUUGAACCCACAACCUCAUGGUUCCUAGUCGGAUUUGUUUCCACUGUGCCACAGUGGGAACUCCUAGAGAAGCUUUUAAACAAAAGUCAGAUUGGAAAUUGUUUUCUGAAACUCUGCUGUAGAAGUCCUGAAUCUUUAUUGGUAUCACUUUAUCUCUAAUGCCUUCUUCAUUCAAGUAUUUCUCCCAGGAGCAACACCUACUAGUGUCAUGAAUUUGUUUUUCAGUCCUUGGGAAGCCAGGCCCUAGCCUUUCAAUUUCUUCAUAAAGGUGGUGUAAAGAUGGUAUCUUUCUCUUUUUUUUUGGCUGUGCCCCGUGGCGUAGGGAAGUUUUGGAGCCAGGGAUCGAACCUGAACCACAGCCGUAACCAGAGCCACAGCAAUGACAAUGCUGUAUCCUUAAGCUGCUGAGCCCUGAGGGAACUCCAUUAAGGUGCUAUCUUGAACUUAGUCCGCUUGAACUUGUCUUUGCCUAACCGAGGGUGACCCACAGGGGAACAUAUCUCUAUAUUCAGCACCUAUCCUGAGUAGCACUUUUUCUCUUGCACAACGGCGAGUAGAUUUCAGAGACGGUCCAUUGAAUAAGACCCCAGCUCUUCCACCAAAGUCCUGUUUCCUGAGACUACUUUCCUGUCUUUGAACAUUAAUGCUUGGAGAUUCACCACAAAGAAGAGAGCUCUAAAGGAGCACGGUGAGAGUGCUCUCAUAGCAUUCCAAGACAUUUCAAGGGCCAUCAGGUGAGGAACAGCAGAAAAAGAUGCCUUUGUGUGACUGGGGCUCCCUAAUCAAAAGGGAGGCCUUGGGCUCAGGGAUUGAGGCUGUCCCAGCCCUGUGGGUGGGCCCGGCAGACUGUCCUACAGAGGAGCUCUGGGAACCUGGAAUGGCAGGCAGAUACGGGCACCAGGGAUGUGAAUGGCACGUGUUCACAAAAGGCUUUUUAAAGAUGAGGGCUGUGAUAGAAGUGAAAACUUCAAGGCCUGUGGCAUGAAACCUUGCAGAGUGUGUCCAAGACUUUGUCGAUAAGGAGGAGGGGGAGACAGACCCAGGAAGGACAACAGUUAGAGAGAGAAAGUGUGGAUGGCCUCCCCCCCGCUACCCCCGGACAGCACACAUGUAUUCAGCCAGGAAGACACAUCCUUGUUUUUAGAAAGAAGGAUAGCUUGGGGUUUUCUCAUUUCUCCCAGUUUAUGACCUAGUUAGGAAGAUGGAAACAGAGGGGGUUGGAGAAAAGAUGAGUGGAGACUUGCUGGGCAUGAGAAGUAAUUGUCAGAGCGAGGGAGGGUUUUAUCAGUGACUCUUAGAGGCUGCUUGUAUUUUGGAUGCUGAAGCUACGAAUGGCUGGUAUGUGGUUACAUCUCCUAAAAACUAUUUCCACACGAGGCUUCUAAGGGGCUUUUAAAAUUAUGAUUAUUAUUUUUUAAUGGCCGCACCCUCGGCAUAUGGAAGUUCCCAGGCCAGGGACUGAAUCUGAGCCACAGCUGUGACCUACAACAGCAAUGCUGGAUCUUUAACCCACUUCGCUAAGCCAGGGAUUGAACCGCAGCAGUCAGAUUCUUAACCCACUGCACCACAGCAGGAACUGCUAAAAGACUUUUUUAAAGGGGAAAUAAACAGGCACCCCAAGUGGCAUUUUAAAUAAAAAUUGAUAUGUAAAUUAAGAUAGUUUUUAUUUAAAUAUUUAUACUUUUAUUUUAAUAAAGAGUUUAUUUUAUAGGGAAACUUCCUAGAGAGGAACUAAUCACAGGGCUCCCCCUUGUCUUUUUUUUCUGGUGCCAUCAGAAACCGCAAUGGAUUCCUGGGAAGGGCUGAUGGAGCUGGUGGAGUGUGUAUCUUGCCAUUUCAAUUCUGAUCCCAUAAUAGCAAACACCAUGCGUCAUGUGUGACCCUCCCCAUGUAGGAAGUGAGAAAUGGAAUCCCCACUGAUUCCUUUUCUCUUGUCUGAGAAAUCUUCCAGGGCCGAAUUACGUUUGCUCGGGUUUUUUAUUUUUAGGGCUGCACCCGUGGCAUAUGGAGAUUCCCAGGUUAGGGGUCAAAUGGGAGCAAUAGCUUUCAGCCUAUGCUACAGCCACAGCAACAUCAGGUCCAAGCCAUGUCUUCGACCUACACCAUAGUUCAUGGCAACGCCAGAUCCUUAACCCACUGAGCAAAGCCAGGGAUCAAACCCACAACCUCAUGGUUCCUAGUCAGAUUCGUUUCUGCUGCGCCACGACGGGAGCUCCACGUUUGCUGUUACUUCUCCUGUUCCUCUCCACUCUGGUAACUCAAAGGCAGCUUCAAGACCUAUUCCUUCAGAGCACUUGUCUUAAUAGUCUCCAUCAGAGAUGGGUUUGUUGUGGUGCUCCAGGGCUUGGUGUGAGACCAUUUCCUAUUCCAUGAACGCUGAAGACAUAGUGGAAAUAAUCCUGGCCUUUCCAGCCUGAUAGCGAGCCUGAGAGUUAGAAACUGGGCUCCCAUCCAAUCAUUCAGAGCCAAUGACAAAUUGUAAAGCUAUCAGAAAACUGGAUCCUGGCCUUGGGAUGGGUGGGGUGAUUCACAGACAAGCUUUCCCAGGGAAUUGUGGUCGUCCCAGGUCAUUUGGGGACUGGAGGGGGAGGAUGCCAGGCCUGCCCUCCUACUGCAGUUGUGGCCUGUUCUUGCUCAGCCUGUCCCCGAGUGGGUCCUAGUUCAUGGCCCUUUCACAUUGGCCAUUUUCAUCGCAUUCUAGGAUGAAAGCGGCCUUGGGUUUGCAGUGGAGGAAGGAAACAUUUCAAAGGAAAGCAUGUGUGUUUAAGUCUUUGUGCUUAUUGUCUGUUAGCUCUGUGACCUUGGUCUUGUGGCUUCUUUCAGCCUCACUCUCCUGUCUGUAAAAUGCUGAUACUUUGUAGAAUUGUGAGAAUUAAAUAAGAUUACCAUUG
rnacentral:lncRNA from 1 species